rnacentral:rRNA from 1 species
AGUGAACGCUGGCGGCAGGCCUAACACAUGCAAGUCGAACGGCAGCACAGUAAGUGCUUGCGCUUACGGGUGGCGAGUGGCGGACGGGUGAGGAAUACAUCCGAAUCUAUUUUUUCGUGGGGGAUAACGUAGGGAAACUUACGCUAAUACCGCAUACGACCUACGGGUGAAAGCAUGGGAUCUUCCGACCUUGCGCGAUUGAAUGAGCCGAUGUCGGAUUAGUUAGUUGGUGGGGUAAAGGCCCACCAAGGCGACGAUCCGUAGCUGGUCUGAGAGGAUGAUCAGCCACACUGGAACUGAGACACGGUCCAGACUCCUACGGGAGGCAGCAGUGGGGAAUAUUGGACAAUGGGCGCAAGCCUGAUCCAGCCAUACCGCGUGUGUGAAGAAGGCCUUCGGAUUGUAAAGCCCUUUUAUUUGGAAAGAAAAGCAGCAGGUUAAUACCCCGCUGUUCUGACGGUACCCAAAGAAUAAGCACCGGCUAACUUCGUG